GGAAAGAAGGGAGGGUUUAAACACAACCGAAACUAAAUACAAAGCUGCAAAUUAAAUCUGAACAAACCGUUCCCAGAGAAGAGCAACUUCUGAGAAGAGAGAAAUAAGGGUUCCAGGAUGACUUUGACCUUGGAAAGUUGUUCUUUCAUCGUUGGGAUCGAAGGGCUGAAAAUUGUAUUUGCAGGUUUGACUUUAACCUCCACUACUGCCAUUAUAGGAGUAGUGGGAGUUGUCGCAUACAAAAUGGUGGGAAAAGAAAAGCCAAAAAGGGACCUGAUUAUAGAGGAUCAUUUAGUCCUCUAUAUUUACCUGUGAAAAUAUAAAUGGAAGCUUGACAAUAAAACCAAAGAUGGCAGACUAUUUUUAUCUGACUAAAUAGCUGCAAUAACUGCACUUUGAACACACCCUUUGAUCUAUUGUUACAUGCAAACUUGCUGCCCUGGGAAAAUACUAUCUGAAGGAAAGCACAAAGUAGUUUAAAGUUUUAUCUUUAUGCAUCAAGAAAGUUUGAGACUCUACUUAUCUUUAGUAUAGGACACAUUUUGUUUAAGUAUCUUGUUCAAAAAUUACUCAUUCUGACUGAGCGCACUCUGGCAUGGUGUUUAGAAGCACGACUGUCUUAGGUGCCAAAUAAGUUAUUAUCAGAAGAAACACUAAGGACGUGGCCUUUGUAUAAUGAAGUCUAUUUUCAAAGGGCUUACUAAACCGAAUGAUGUUAAUGCAUCCCACAAAUCUAGUUCUCAUAAGAGUUAAAUAUAUAAAUGAUAUGCUCAACCAAUAGAUUGAGACGCCCCGUUAAUAGGAACCAAACAUACAACUUCACAUUACAUAUUUUCUUGGAAUAUUGCUAUUAAGAGAGCAAUAGAUGAUCAAGGAUGGCUUUAGCUGGGUUCUGUAAAUGGGGUUUUGGUACUAAAGGGGAUAGGGUGCAUAUAUAUAGUUGAGUGAUAAAGUGACAGAUAGUUAAAAAAAAAAAAAGGUACCAAAGCAAUAGUAUACAUAUAUUGCCACUGUGGUCAUUCUUCUCUGUGGUUAGUCACAUAUUUGGGGAAAUUAUGGUUUCAAUGUCCUUUUUUUACAUAACGUUUUUGAGUUCAGUCAAGUUGUUUAAUCAAAACUGUUUAGUGGAAAAGUUAAAAGACUUUCGUUUUAUUGUCUGUAAACUUACAUUUUUUUUUUUUCACUGCGUAUCAUCAUUUAUUGGAUUAAGGCAGAUUUAAGACUGUGAUUCUAAAAUGAAUGGAUACAAGAAACACCCAAAAAUUGCUUUUAUACUGAUAACUUACUGUCAGUGGAAUGAAUUCGACAAGACAACUGUCAUCUCACCGGAGCCAAGCAACAACUGCUGAAACAAACAAAAGGCUUUACUCAAGAGGAGGAUUCUAAUCCAACAGGAAGUCCA